UACGUAGGGGGCAAGCGUUAUCCGGAUUUACUGGGUGUAAAGGGAGCGUAGACGGCAGCGCAAGUCUGGAGUGAAAUCCCAUGGCUUAACCAUGGAACUGCUUUGGAAACUGUGCAGCUAGAGUGCAGGAGAGGUAAGCGGAAUUCCUAGUGUAGCGGUGAAAUGCGUAGAUACUAGGAGGAACACCAGUGGCGAAGGCGGCUUACUGGACUGUAACUGACGUUGAGGCUCGAAAGCGUGGGGAGCAAACAGG
rnacentral:rRNA from 1 species